CUCAAAUUUGAAAGCUGGCUCUCGGGCCCGCAUUGUAAUUUGCAGAGGAUGCUUCUGGCGACGCGCCUUCCGAGUUCCCUGGAACGGGACGCCAUAGAGGGUGAGAGCCCCGUCCGGUCGUGCGCCUAGCCUCUGUGAAGCUCCUUCGACGAGUCGAGUAGUUUGGGAAUGCUGCUCAAAAUGGGAGGUAUACGUCUUCUAAAGCUAAAUACCGGCCAGAGACCGAUAGCGCACAAGUAGAGUGAUCGAAAGAUGAAAAGCACUUUGAAAAGAGAGUUAAAAAGUACGUGAAAUUGUUGAAAGGGAAGCGCUCAUGACCAGACUUGGGCUGGCCCGAUCAUCCGGCGUUCUCGCCGGUGCACUCGGGCCGCCCAGGCCAGCAUCAGCUUUCGCCGGGGGAUAAAGGCGGCGGGAAUGUGGCUCCCUCGGGAGUGUUAUAGCCCGCCGUGCAAUACCCUGGUGGGGGCUGAGGUUCGCGCGUAUGCACGGAUGCUGGCGUAAUGGUUAUCAGCGACCCGUCUUG
rnacentral:rRNA from 1 species